CAGUAGCCGCGGUAAUACGUAGGGCGCAAGCGUUAUCCGGAAUUAUUGGGCGUAAAGAGCUCGUAGGCGGUUUGUCGCGUCUGCCGUGAAAGUCCGGGGCUCAACCCCGGAUCUGCGGUGGGUACGGGCAGACUAGAGUGAUGUAGGGGAGACUGGAAUUCCUGGUGAAGCGGUGAAAUGCGCAGAUAUCAGGAGGAACACCGAUGGCGAAGGCAGGUCUCUGGGCAUUAACUGACGCUGAGGAGCGAAAGCAUGGGGAGCGAACAGGAUUAGAUACCCCAGUAGUCCCUGUCUCUUAUAC
rnacentral:rRNA from 1 species